rnacentral:lncRNA from 1 species
GUUACAUUGGGAGGAAUUAGGGGUUAGGGCUUCAACAUAUAAAUUUUGGGAAGACACAAUUUAGCUCAUAACAUUCAGGUCAUAAUGGCAAUCUAGGAAGGUGGAGUUCUAAAGCUCAGUCAUUGGCUGGAAGCUGGUGUGCUCAUCUUAUUAGAAUUUGUAGCCCAGGAAGGCCAAGGUCAACGAUUUCAAGUCUCCUCUUUGGAUUGGCAGGAAGUGGGAUGUGAGCACAGGAUGGGGCUCCAAUGUGGUUUCUGGGGGUGGGUGGUGGGGAUGGGGCACCAGGGCACUGUGUAAGAGAGAUGGGACCCUGACCAGACUCCUUGCUGUAAUUGCCUGUUUCUGUGUCUGCAUCCCCUCUAGACUGUUAUUUUCUGGAGGGCAGGGACCACUUCUAUCUUGUUGAUCUUCAAAUUCCCCAGUGCCUGGUGCAUAGUUGGCAUAUUUGUGGAAUGAAUGAUUCACUUCUGCAGCCUCUUCCCUGUGUGAAAGUUAUUUUGUGUAUCAGGAAAGCAAAUUCUUUUUGCAUCUAGAAAUUUUCAGCCUCCUCUCAUCUUGAUCUUAAAGAGUUUUUGUCUUAUUUUUUCCCUUUGGAAGUGCUUGAUGCUCACAGAUAUAAGGACCAUUUACGGAAGGUUUACCACACACCAGGCACAGUGCUCAGAGCCUCAUGAGUCUCUCACUUAAUCCUCAUGACAGCCCUGCCAGGUGUUCCUUCUGUCUGGAAUAUCUUCUUCCCAGUGACUGCUCAUCAUUUUCUUCCUGCACCCUGCUCUGCUCUCUCUUUUAUUAAGACCUUGCAUUGGCAUUAUUUCCCCCCAGAAAUCCCUCAUCUUUGCCAGUGGGUAUGCACAUACCACAUCAUUUUAUACCUGUCUAGUUGUGUGCCUCUCUCCCCUAUUAGACUCUGAGAUCCUCUAGAGUAGAUACUAGGUCUCUUUUAUCUUUAUUUUCUCUGAUGCCUGACUCAAAGAAUGGAGCACAAGUGAGUACUCAAAUAAACACCCAAUAAAUUGAAUGGAUAAGUAAGGGUUCCUGGGUGGGUAGGGGAUGAUGCUUUUUGGUCAGGAGUUCUAUUCAAUGAUGGGCAGAGAGUAAACCACAUCGCAAUAAUAAUAAAGGUUAUGUUCUAUCUGAGCAUCUAUUACCUGAGAAGUAUUGUCAAUAUGUGUAGCCCAUGCAAUAACACUAUGAGGUAGACACUAUGAUUAUCUCUAUAAAAUGCAAGGGAAAGAUUAUGAUGGUAAUUAUGAUGAUUAUAAUAGAGAUAAUAAAGAACUUAAAAUGUAAAGCAAAGGAAACUCCACAAGACAGAAGCUAAAUGAUUUUCUUAAGGUCACAUAUGUUCACAAAAACUAGAGCCUGGUUUUGCUAAUUAAUGCCAACAUAAUAUGCUUGAUCAAUGACAUAUUAUUUAGAGGCAUGUGUAGAAACUGGCCAUGUUGGAGACCAAUUGAAAUCCCCCCAAAUGCAAUUGGACUUUGAAUUACUCUACUGAGAAAACUCUAAAAACAGUAGAACCAAUAUAUAUUUCAUUCAAUUUUGGGCUGGCAGAGCCUCUGUACAUAUGGUCUCCAAAGGCAGGAACAGCUUGUUAAUCUGGCAUUUAACUACCAGAAAUUUCUAUUAACAAUUAUUACUGGGAAGAGCAAUUGGUGCAUAAUGAUGGCCUACGAUAUUGCUUGGUCAUGAAGUGCCUCCUGAAUCAUAAUAACAAUGAGAAUUAUGUUCAGUCUAAGUUUAGUAUUGAGUCUGUUUUACUGUCUUCGAAGUCUUUGGAUGUCAGUAAUCUCUGAAUAACUUAUAUAUACUUAACUGUAUUACAUAUUUUAAUAACCAGAAAUCCCCCUAAAAAGAAAGUUUAUUAUACUUUAAACUUGACAAUUAUUUUAAAAUAAUGGAUGUUGUUGUAAUUUCUGAAAUGUAAAUUCAAGAGAAAAUACAAAUUUAUAAUCACAUUUGGUUAUUAUAUCCUUAUCAAUUAAAGGAUAUAAUUUGCCCAUGGAUCACGAGGUCAGGAGUUCAAGACAAGCCUGGCCAAGAUGGUGAAACCUCAUCUCUACUAAAAACACAAAAAAUUAGCCGGGCAUGGUGGCAGGCACCUGUAAUCCUGGCUACUUGAGAGACUGAGGCAGGAGAAUCUAUUGAACUCAGAGGGCAGAGGUUGCAGUGAGCCAAGACCACGCCACUGCACUCCAGCCUGGGUGACAGAGUGAGACUCUAUCUCAAAAAAAAAAAAAAAAAAGGAAAAAAAAAAAAAAAGGCACCUACCAUGUGGGUAGCUACUGUGUUGGGUAUUAGAGUUACAGGAAUGGCUAAGACAGACACAGUCCUUACCUUCUAUAAGGAAGAAAUUCAUGAAAGUUUUUGAUGCUAAAGAAAGGAAUUUUGACUCUCAAAGACUGAUGCUAUUAUGGAUAAUACUAAGAUUCCAACUUUGAGUUAAUAAAUGCUACAACUGAACUAAAAGCCAACUGAUACAUACGUAAAAGAAAAACAAGUGAUUAGAUCUGGGGACUGAAAGGCAUGAAAGUGCAGCAAUUGCUUGGGAUGCAUGUGAUCCUGUGAUGGGAGAAAUACUGUGGUCAAACUGUUGGGGAUCUAAGAAACUUGGACUCUAUUCUGUAGAAUGGAUGGCAUUGCUUUUGGCGUUUUGGUCAUUAAGUCUUUGCCCAUGCCUAUGUCCUGAAUGGUAUUGCCUGGGUUUUCUUUUAUGGUUUUAGGUGUUAUGUUUAAGUCUUUAAUCUAUCAUGAGUUAAUCUAUCUUUUGUGUAAGGUGUAAGGACGGGGGCCAAUUUCAGUUUUCUGCAUAUGACUAGCCAGUUUUCCCAACACCAUUUAUUAAAUAGGGAAUCCUUUCCCCAUUGCUUGUUUUUGUCAGAUGGUUGGAUUAGAUGGUUGUAGAUGAGUGACACUAUUUCUGAGGCCCCUGUUCUGUUCCAAUUGUCUAUAUAUCUAUUUUGGUACAAGUACCAUGCUGUUUUGGUUACUGUAGCCUUAUAGUAUAGUUUGAAGUCAGAUAGCAUGAUGCCUCCAGCUUUGUUCCUUUUGUUUAGGAUUAUCUUGGCUAUAUGGGCUCUUUUUUGGUUCCAUAUGAAAUUUAAAGCAGUUUUUUCUAAUUCUGUGAAGAAAGUCAAUGAUAACUUCAUGGGGAUAACAUUGAAUCCAUAAGUUACUUUGGGCAGUAUGGCCAUUUUCACGAUAUUGAUUCUUCCUAUCCAUGAGCAUGGAAUGUUUUUCCAUUUGCUUGUGUCCUCUUUGAUUUCCUUGAGCAGUGGUUUGUAGUUCUCCUUGAAGAGGUCCUUCAUAUCCCUUGUAAGUUGUAUUCCUAGGUAUUUUAUUCUCUUUGUAGCAAUUGUGAAUGGGAGUUCACUCAUGAUUUGGCUCUGUUUGUCUAUUAUUGGUGUAUAGGAAUGCUUGUGAUUUUCGCACAUUGAUUUUGUAUCCUGAGACUUUGCUGAAGUUGUUUAUCAGCUUAAGGAGAUUUUGGGCUGAGACAGUGGAGUUUUUUAAAUAUACAAUAAUGUCAUCUGCGAACAGAGACAAUUUGAGUUCCUCUCUUUCUAUUUGAAUACUCUUUAUUUCUUUCUCUUGCCUGAUUGCCCUGGCCAGAACUUCCAAUACUAUGUUGAAGAGGAAUGGUGAGAGAGGGCAUCAUUGUCUUGUGCCUGUUUUCAAAGGGAAUGCUUCCAGCUUUUGCCCAUUCAGUAUGAUAUUGGCUGUAGGUUUGUCAUAAUUAGCUCUUAUUAUUUUGAUAUACAUUCUAUCAAUACUUAGCUUAUUGAGAGUUUUUAGCAUGAAGAUGUGUUGAAUUUUAUCAAAGGCCUUUUCUGAAUCUAUUGAGAUAAUCAUGUGGUUUUUGUCAUUGGUUUUGUUUAUGUGAUGGAUUACGUUUAUUGAUUUGUGUAUGUUGAACCAGCCUUGCAUCCCAGGGAUGAAGUUGACUUGAUCGUGGUGGAUAAGCUUUUUGAUGUGCUGCUGGAUUUGGGUUACCAGUAUUUUAUUGAGGAUUUUUGCACUGAUGUUCAUCAGGGAUAUUGGCCUGAAAUUUUGUGUGUGUGUGUGUCUCUGCCAGGUUUUGGUAUCAGGAUGAUUCUGGCCUCGUAAAAUGAGUUAGGGAGGAGUCCCUAUUUUUCUGUUGUUUGGAAUAGUUUCAGAAGGAAUGGUACCAGUUCAUUUUUGUACCUCUAGUAGAAUUUGGCUGUGAAUCCAUCUGGUCCUGGGCUUUAUUUCAUUGGUAGGCUAUUAAUUACUGCCUCAAUUUCAUUACUCAUCAUUGCUGUAUUCAUGGAUUCAACUUUUUCCUGGUUUAGUCUUGGGAGGGUGUAUGUGUCCAGGAAUUUAUCCAUUUCUUCUAGAUUUUCUAGUUUAUUUGCAUAGAGGUGAUUAUAGUAUUCUCUGAUGAUACUUUGUAUUUCUGUGGGAUCAGUGGUGCUAUCCCCUUUUUCGUUUUUAUUGUGUCUAUUUGAUUCUUCUCUCUUUUCUUCUUUAUUUGGUGGGCUAGCUGUCUAUCUAUUUUGUUAAUCUUUUCAUUAAAAAAAGCUCCUGGAUUCAUUGAUUUUUUUGAAGGGUUUUUUGUGUCUCUAUCUCCUUCAGUUCUUCUCUGAUGUUGGUUAUUUCUGUCUUCUGCUAGUUUUUGAAUUUGUUUGCUCUUGCUUCUCUAGUUCUUUUAAUUGUAAUAUUAGGGUGUUGAUUUUAGAUCUUUCCCACUUACUCCUGUGGGCAUUUAGUGCUAUAAAUUUUCCUCUAAACACUGCUUUAGCUGUGUCCCAGAGAUUCUGGUACAUUGUGUCUUUGUUCUCACUGGUUUCAACGAACUUACUUAUUUCUGCCUUAAUUUUGUUAUUUACCCAGUAGUCAUUCAGGAGCAGGUUUUCCAGUUUGCAUGUAGUUGUGCAGUUUUGAGUGAGUUUUUAAAUCCUGAGUUCUAAUUUGAAUGCACCUUGGUCUGAUAGACUGUUUGUUAUGAUUUCCAUUCUUUUGCAUUUGCUGAGAAGUGAUUUGCUGAGGAGUGUUUUACUUCCAAUUAUGUGGUUGAUUUUAGAAUAAGUAUGAUGUGGUGCUGAGAAAAGUGUAUAUUCUGUUGAUUUUGGGUGGAGAGUUCUGUACAUGUCUAUUAAGUCUGCCUUGUCCAGAGCUGACUUCGAGUCCUGAAUAUCCAUCUCAGUUUUCUGUGUCCUUGAUCUGUCUAAUAUUGACAGUAGGGUGUUAAAAUCUCCCACUAUUAUUGUGUGGGAAUCUAAGCCUCUUUGUAGGUGUCUAAGAACUUGCUUUAUGAAUCUGGGUGCUCCUGUAUUGGGUGCAUAUAUAUUUAGGAUAGUUAGCUCUUCUUGUUGCAUUGAUCCCUUUACCACUACGUAAUGCCUUUCUUUGUCUUUUUUGACCUUUGUUGGUUUAAAGUCUGUUUUAUCACAGACUAGGAUUGCACCCCCUGCUUUUAUUUGCUUUCCUUUUGCUUGGUAAAUCUUCCUCCAUCCCUUUAUUUUGAGCCUAUGUAUGUCUUUGCAUGUGAGAUGGGUCUCAUGAAUACAGCACACCAAUGAGUCUUGACUCUUUAUCCAAUUUGCCAAUCUGUGUCUUUUAAUUGGGGCAUUUAGCCCAUUUACAUUUAAUGUUAAUAUUGUUAUGUGUGAAUUUGAUCCUGUCAUUAUGAUGCUAGCUGGUUAUUUUGCCCAUUAGUUGAUGCAGUUUCUUCGUAGCGUC